rnacentral:rRNA from 1 species
UACGGGGGGAGCAAGCGUUGUUCGGAUUUACUGGGCGUAAAGGGCGCGUAGGCGGUCAGCACAAGUCAGUUGUGAAAUCUCCGAGCUUAACUCGGAAAGGUCAACUGAUACUGUGCGACUAGAGUGCAGAAGGGGCAACUGGAAUUCUUGGUGUAGCGGUGAAAUGCGUAGAUAUCAAGAGGAACACCUGCGGCGAAGGCGGGUUGCUGGGCUGACACUGACGCUGAAGAACGAAAGCUAGGGGAGCAAACAGG